rnacentral:lncRNA from 1 species
AAUAUUUACAGGGUAUCAGAGCCUGGACGACGAUCCGACUAUGUUUAUCUGUACCUCGUUGUCUUGGAUGAAGUCUGUUUCGAGAUUUUUGGGGGUGUUUCGGAGACCUAAUGGUCGAUGAUGAUUCCGAUCUAAAUUGGACACCUUUCUGAGUUUUUCAUCGUGAUAUCUGAGUGUAUUUUCUUCACUCGAACGUUUUGGGAGAUUUUCUGAUGAUUUUUGGGUGAUUUUGGGUGACCUAUUGGCUUCUAGGGUUUCUGGUGGUUUAACCUAGAGUUUUACUACUAUCCGGUGGCUCGAUUCUCACUCAGUGGAUGUUUUGAGUGACUUUCUGACAUUCCUGACCAUACUUACAGUAAAUCUUUCGACGGUUGCACCUAGGGUUUUCUCUGUUUGUUUGAAGGCCGAUCUUCUCCGGUCGCGAAGAAGGAGGGUAACUCUUUCCUUAUCUUGAGNNN